GUAUUUCCAUGUUCUGUAUCGAAUGACAACAUGGAACGAUUACAACCAGUCUGAAGCUGAAGUUACACUGCUUGCCACGUGCAACCUUCUUCCAGAACUGCAGUUUUGCCCAGGUGGGGCAGGUGAGACGCAUUCAAGGUGACACAUCACGCUUCCGGUUUCGUCACGCCAAAUGUUUACCUUUUUGAGCUGCUGACAUGCGGUUUGGCUUCUCCUUCGCGAACAGACAGCUUGUCUGCAACCACGGCUUAUCUGUCCCCAGAUGGAGGCCCUGUGUAAGCAUAGGUUUUGUUUUGUUUGUUUUUGUUUCUAUGCACCACUUUUGGUGUAUAUUAGUGCAUUACUACUGCCAGUCUUCCAUACUGCUACCUUUCUGCAAUCAAAUGAGUUCAUUUGAUUGCGUAGCAGUAUGGGGGACUGUCAGUAGUAAUGCACUAACGGAGAGUGGGGCCCCUGUCAAAAUUUUUUUUUUUUUUUACCUUCCAAAAAUUUUGAAUUUGCAAAAAAAUAUUAUAACCCCCAUGUUGUAUUCUGGGAAAUUCCGGGGGGCCAGAUUGCCUGCCCGUCCACUCACACCACACACACACCUCCCCCACCCUUGGGGACCACCAACGUUGCUCAGGUGCGGUCUCGGGGACUCGAACCAUCAACCUCUACCUCCUGAGGAUCGGUUCAGCCCCCUACGCCACAUACUCCUUCGCAUUUAUCGCUCAUUUUUUUGUGCACUUACACAGCACAACGGACAAAAGCUGCGCAAACUGAAGGGACGAACGGGGAUUCGAACCCUGAAGCUCAGCGUUCCAAGCUUUGGACAAUACCUUUACGCCACCGUCGUGUUAGCGGUUGCGCGGCUGCAGAAGUGGCCUGAUGAUGAGACAACCCAAGUAUAAGCGAAACAAAGAUGAAGGGGGGUUUGAACCCCCAACCUCUGCGUCCGUAGGCAAAGACAAUACCGUUGCGCCACCUUCUCUUUUGUGAAUCGGCCGGCUGUUAUGUGGGUAGAAGAAGAUGACACAACAGAAAUAUUUCUCAAAAAAAAAAAAAAAAAGCUGGAACCCCCCGGCCGUGGCUGGCUCAAAUCUGCUGGGCGUGAUGCAGUGAAUGGGGUCUUGCACCACGAAGCCCCUCAAGAGUUCCUGGGUGCUCAUUAGUGAACUUAUUUUCAGACCUAUCAUAAAUAAACAGGAAGAGCUUUGAAUCACACAGAUCCAGAUUAGGUGCUCUCCUGAAAUGAACUCUAAGAAACUGCGGCAAAAUAUAAACUGACACCCUAACAUAUUUUGGCUUCUUUAAAUAAAGCUUUUGAUUCAUUGAAGGAA